ensembl:ncRNA C07A9.16 ncRNA
UCCACUUUUUAACUUCACAUAAAUUUUUCCAUCAUUACGGAAUGAGAAUCAUUAAAAACAUUAGCUAAACUGAACAAAAAAACAAACAAUUUGAAUUUACGCUUUUGCCGCUAAAUUCCUAACAAGACUCAACGUUCAGGCGGGGUGCAUUUUUAGAAAUUCUUCUUGUAAUAUUUUCUAACUACGAAAUAAAUUAAGUUAAAUAUAGAAAAAAACUCACCGCUC